rnacentral:rRNA from 1 species
GAUGAACGCUGGCGGCGUGCCUAAUACAUGCAAGUCGAGCGAACGGACGAGAAGCUUGCUUCUCUGAUGUUAGCGGCGGACGGGUGAGUAACACGUGGAUAACCUACCUAUAAGACUGGGAUAACUUCGGGAAACCGGAGCUAAUACCGGAUAAUAUUUUGAACCGCAUGGUUCAAAAGUGAAAGACGGUCUUGCUGUCACUUAUAGAUGGAUCCGCGCUGCAUUAGCUAGUUGGUAAGGUAACGGCUUACCAAGGCAACGAUGCAUAGCCGACCUGAGAGGGUGAUCGGCCACACUGGAACUGAGACACGGUCCAGACUCCUACGGGAGGCAGCAGUAGGGAAUCUUCCGCAAAGGGCGAAAGCCUGACGGAGCAACGCCGCGUGAGUGAUGAAGGUCUUCGGAUCGUAAAACUCUGUUAUUAGGGAAGAACAUAUGUGUAAGUAACUGUGCUCAUCUUGACGGUACCUAAUCAGAAAGCCACGGCUAACUACGUG